rnacentral:rRNA from 1 species
ACGAACGCUGGCGGCGUGCUUAACACAUGCAAGUCGAACGGUGAAGCGCCUUCCUUUUUGGUGGGUGUGGAUGAGUGGCGAACGGGUGAGUAACACGUGAGUAACCUGCCCCCUUCUUCUGGAUAACCGCAUGAAAGUGUGGCUAAUACGGGAUAUUCUGGGUCUGUCGCAUGAUGGGUCUGGGAAAGAUAUUGUUUCGGUGGGGGAUGGGCUCGCGGCCUAUCAGCUUGUUGGUGGGGUGAUGGCCUACCAAGGCGGUGACGGGUAGCCGGCCUGAGAGGGUGGACGGUCACACUGGGACUGAGACACGGCCCAGACUCCUACGGGAGGCAGCAGUGGGGAAUAUUGCACAAUGGGCGCAAGCCUGAUGCAGCGACGCCGCGUGAGGGAUGGAGGCCCUCGGGUUGUGAACCUCUUUCGCCAGUGAAGCAGGCCUGCCUCGUUUGUGGGUGGGUUGACGGUAGCUGGAUAAGAAGCGCCGGCUAACUACGUG